rnacentral:rRNA from 1 species
CACGUAGGGGGCAAGCGUUGUCCGGAUUUAUUGGGCGUAAAGAGCUCGUAGGCGGUUCGGUAAGUCGGGGGUGAAACCUCCAGGCUCAACCUGGAGACGCCACCCGAUACUGCUGUGACUAGAGUCCGGUAGGGGAGCGUGGAAUUCCUGGUGUAGCGGUGAAAUGCGCAGAUAUCAGGAGGAACACCGGAGGCGAAGGCGGAUCACUGGACUGCCACUGACGCUGAGGCGCGAAAGCUAGGGGAGCAAACAGG